rnacentral:rRNA from 1 species
GUGCACCAGGCGAGAAAACUUUACAAUGCGGGAAACCGUGAUAAGGGAACCUCGAGUGCUGAUGCCCAGCAUUGGCUGUCCACAUGCCUAAAAAGCAUGUGUUAGCAAGGGCCGGGCAAGACCGGUGCCAGCCGCCGCGGUAACGACCGGCGGCUCGAGUGGUAGCCACUUUUAUUGGGUCUAAAGCGUCCGUAGCCGGCUUGGUAAGUCUUCUGGGAAAUCUGGCGGCUCAACCGUCAGGCGUCCACGAGAUACUGUCAGGCUUGGGACCGGGAGAGGUGAGAGGUACCUCA